rnacentral:rRNA from 1 species
AACGCGAAGAACCUUACCUACUCUUGACAUCCAGAGAAUUUAGCAGAGAUGCUUUAGUGCCUUCGGGAACUCUGAGACAGGUGCUGCAUGGCUGUCGUCAGCUCGUGUUGUGAAAUGUUGGGUUAAGUCCCGCAACGAGCGCAACCCUUAUCCUUUGUUGCCAGCGGUUCGGCCGGGAACUCAAAGGAGACUGCCAGUGAUAAACUGGAGGAAGGUGGGGAUGACGUCAAGUCAUCAUGGCCCUUACGAGUAGGGCUACACACGUGCUACAAUGGCAUAUACAAAGAGAAGCGACCUCGCGAGAGCAAGCGGACCUCAUAAAGUAUGUCGUAGUCCGGAUCGGAGUCUGCAACUCGACUCCGUGAAGUCGGAAUCGCUAGUAAUCGUAGAUCAGAAUGCUACGGUGAAUACGUUCCCGGGUCUUGUACACACCG